UGACAAGUUCUCCAACGCCCAGGGUACAUGCAUCAUGAUCAGAGGGGAGAAGCACUGAGCUACAGUAUGCAACGGUGGCAGAGCUGUGGGCCAGGCUGGGCAGAACAGGACGACCUUGGCCUUGAGGCUCCCACAACGGGGGUGGGGGCUGGGUGGUGGGUGGUGGAUGGGGAGGGAAGAAGGCUCCAUGAGGCCAGCCUGCACUGCUCUAUGGGCAAAGCUGUCCCAUCCCCGCGGCAGAAAGCUAACAGUUUGGAAAAGCUGCCUUUGGUGAAAACAAAAUGGUUCUGUGGAGCUUAAAUAAAAAACAGCAGCUCUCUCCACCGAUGGCACAAGAACAGGAAGCCAGCUGGGGCAGGAGGCAGUGAGGCCCCCACUUCCCAUGACAGCUGGCCUUUGGCAGCUGGGAACUUAAAGCAGGUGUGGGAGGCCACGGGUCAAAGACAAAAUAGGGGAUGGGGACGACUAGUUACUGCAUGCGUGCUGUACGCCAGUUAGUAUUCAAGGGGCUUUAUAUUUUAUUUAAUCCUCCCCAUUCUGUGCACUGGGUAAGGAUUUCUAGCCCCAUUUGACAGUUAGGGAGACUGAGGCUCAGGUGGAGCAGGCACUCACCUCCCCUGGCCGUCCAUUGGCCAAGGCACAGCUCACAGAAGCCCCUGGGCAGGUCUGGAUGGCAUACAUCACAGCCCUUCCCGGAAGUCCUGGGUACCUACCCUUUAGGGUGCUCUGCGGCUCAAGUGGGCUGCUGUUUCCUUAUGGGCCCCCUAUCCGCACGGCCUCUGGCACAUAUUCACCACCACACACAGCAGGACUCUGCAGCGUGCCCUGGCCCAGGCCACCACCCUCCCAGCACCUAGGGCAGCUUUCUGGCCUCUCCCUGGAGCCCUACAGUCCACCGAGCAGUGACUCAGUGUCAGGCAGGAUGAGAGCCACCGCGCGGACAGCCCAGGGAGAGGCUGAAGGCCAAGGAAUCGCUCAGGGCUAUGCGCCAGUCAGUGACAGAGAAAAAGUCACAUCCUCUGACCCUAGGAUGAUGUGGCUCUUGUGACAGACAAAGUGGCUCUGCCAUUGCCUGCAAACAAAGGGGAAAAGAAAGUGGGGCAGAAGGAAGGGGCAGAGACAGGGCUGAGGCAGGGUUUAGGAGGCAGGAGGCAAAAGUAUGGAAAGAGAACCCCAGGGCUGAAAUCCUGCUAUCAGCUAUGGACUCUCAACUUUGGGUAAGUCAUUCACCUCUCCUCAAAUUAGCUUUGUCAUUUGUAAAACAGGGAUCUGAGAAUCAUGUUCUAGAGGUCUCUGGCAGGGAGUCCCUUCUGAACUGUGGGCACCUCCUGCUUCUGUACCCUCUCUAUCUGCACUGCUGGCCCUGGCCUAUCCCACCUCCUCCCCACCCCCGCCUGCACCCAUUCCCAUCACCAUCACUGCCUCUGGACCUUCCUCCAAUCCAUUCCAAACUGCUCUUCAAGGCUGCUCUCAGGACCCUGCCCUGGUUCAAAGUCCUUCCUGUGGCUCAGAUAAAACCAACCCAGAGGAAGGCCAGAGGCCCUGGGUAAUCCAUCUCCCCAGACUCUUCUGUCCCAGCUCCCUGCAUGACCCCAACUCCCUGGGUGACUCCCAAUUCUCUCAGUGGCCUAGACCUGGGAUCUACCAGGACAUGCCUUGCCCAGAGCAAGCUCUGCCUGUCCCUGCCCUGAGCUUCUGUACCACAACCCUUUCCCAGCUUUCUACUCAGCCUCCCAGACUCAGUUCAGGGUCAGUUAAAUCCCAACACACCCACCAUUGGAGGGGUGUCCCUCCCACACAUUCCCACAACCCCUGGGAACACGGUGCCACCCUCAACACUCCCAAAUGCAUGUGAGCCCUUAGGUCACUGCUGUCCUUGUGCCCUGAUGCCUGGCAGAGAUGGAGCCAGAGCCCCAGUGCUCAGCUACACGUCACUUUCCCAGACAGGCCCCCUGGGAAGGUGCAGGUGCUAGCCAGAAUGGCAAAACCACUCAGUCUCAUCAGGAGACAGGACAGAAGGAGAAGCAGAGCCGGGGACCCCUCUAGAGAUAGUGACCCCGAACUGCCCGAGGGGGAUGUCUAGCUCACUUUCCAUCUGGCGGCACUCAAUAGAUAAAGAUGGAUGGAAGUGACGCCAGCAGCCUUUGACUCUGGGCCUUCCUGUUCCCUUCUGUUGGAAGCAAGCUCCUGAAUAAAGGUCAUGCCAGCAA